rnacentral:rRNA from 1 species
GUUAGGAAUAUUGGACAAUGGGCGCAAGCCUGAUCCAGCCAUGCCGCGUGAGUGAUGAAGGCCUUCGGGUUGUAAAGCUCUUUAGCCGAUGAUUAUAAUGACUGUAGUCGGAAAAUAAGCCCCGGCUAACUUCGUGCCAGCAGCCGCGGUAAUACGAAGGGGGCGAGCGUUAUUCGGAAUCACUGGGCGUAAAGCGUGCGUAGGCGGCUUUGCAAGUUGGGAGUGAAAGCCCAGGGCUCAACCCUGGAAUUGCGCUCAAAACUGCAAGGCUCGAAUUCGGGAGAGGAUAGCGGAAUUGUCAGUGUAGCAGUGAAAUGCGUAGAUAUUGACAGGAACACCAGUGGCGUAAGCGGCUAUCUGGACCGAUAUUGACGCUGAGGCACGAAAGCGUGGGGAUCAAACAGGAUUAGAAACCCGAGUUCC